rnacentral:lncRNA from 1 species
AUUUCUAUAGCCAUUUCUCAUAUACUGAAAUGCAUAUCUUUUACAAAAUAUCUUAUUUAUACCUGCAUUUAUACAUAAUGCAUUCAACUUAUAGCUAUAAAUCUCAUUCACAAGCUUUUUAUUAUUCAUUGACAAUAUAACUGUUUCUAUUUUGAGAUGUGAAAAUCAAUAAAUAGAUUCAUCAUGCUGAUAAUCAGCCAACAGUGUAUAGUUUGAUGGAGGAUUAUCCUUGAGCAUCUCGGAUUCCUGAUAAAAUGGAGACUGGGAUUUCAUGAUCCCAGUCUCCAUUUCAUUAGGAAUUUCAGAUCCCAGUUCUCCACUUCAUUACAAUCAAACUUUUGGCCAUUAUGGCAAAGUUGAACUCUAUUACCUUAGAAGAUUAACAGUAGCAUACAAUUCAUCCUGCCAUGAAAGGAUAGGCCUAAAGAGAAAUUUGUUAACAUAUAUCUUGUAUCCAAUUAUAGGUCAUAAAGCAUUUGAGAUACAAGAUAUCAAAAU